UACGUAGGGUCCGAGCGUUGUCCGGAAUUAUUGGGCGUAAAGGGCUCGUAGGCGGUUUGUCGCGUCGGGAGUGAAAACUCAGGGCUUAACUCUGGGCUUGCUUUCGAUACGGGCAGACUUGAGGCAUGCAGGGGAGAACGGAAUUCCUGGUGUAGCGGUGAAAUGCGCAGAUAUCAGGAGGAACACCGGUGGCGAAGGCGGUUCUCUGGGCAUGUUCUGACGCUGAGGAGCGAAAGUGUGGGGAGCGAACAGG
rnacentral:rRNA from 1 species